AUUGAACGCUGGCGGCAGGCCUAACACAUGCAAGUCGAGCGGAUGAACGGAGCUUGCUCCUGGAUUCAGCGGCCGACGGGCGAGUAAUGCCUAGGUAUAUGCCUGGCAGCUGGGGAUAAGGUCCGAACGCGGGCGCUAAUACCGCAUACGUCCAGAGGUCGAACGUGGGGGAUCUUCGGACCUCACGCUCUUAGAUGAGCCUAGGACGCAUUAGCUAGUUGGCUGGGUAAAGGGUUACCAACGCGACGAUCCGUAGCUGAUCUGAGAGGCUGAUCAGCCACACUGGAACUGAGACACGGUCCAGACUCCUACGGGAGGCAGCAGUGGGGAAUAUUGGGCAAUGGGCGAAAGCCUGAUACAGCCACGCCGCGUGUGUGAAGAAGGUCUUCGGAUUGUAAAACACUUUUAUUUGGGAAGAAAAGAAGUGAAUGUAAAUAUUCCUGUUUUGACGUUACCAACAGAGAAAGCACCGGCUAACUUCGUG
rnacentral:rRNA from 1 species